rnacentral:lncRNA from 1 species
AGGAAUUCAGCAGCCAACACAAAAGAAACUUUCUCUGAGAAGAUUUGCAGAGGAGGCCUGGUGUUUCCCAGCUAUUCAAUACCGGAAUUUGUUUUCAUGUUUUCAAGUCAAAAAAUAAGGGUCUUGAUCAGGAACACACAGGGGAAGGGCCACUUCAACAAUGACCAAGCCCAGCGAAUUUUGACCAAAGAUGUUAUCUUAUUUCAUCCUUCCAUGUGGGUUUUACCGUCCCCUUGAACAAGGAGAAAACUAAGGCUGAGAACAUUGAAGUAGCACGAUCAUGGCAGAGGUUACCAGGUGUAAACCCCAGAGUUGGAAGCACAAUUUGAGAAUGCAGUGCUCUCUUCCGGAUUCCAGUGGCCAUGCUCCUGACUCCUCGAUUUUUA